GAAUAUGAUGAUAGAAAGUCUUACCCUAGACUUACAUGCAUCAAUGAUGCAAAAUGUUGAUUGACUGUAAUUUGUCUUAC